AGGGUGGACGACGACGACAUCGUCUCCCACAUCCUGGCCGGGUUAGAUGAAGAUUUCGACCCCGUGGUGUCCGCCAUGUGUUCCCGGGUGGAGCCGGUGACCGUGGCCGAGCUGUUCUCACAGCUGCUGAGCUUCGAAA
rfam:Triticum urartu cultivar G1812 contig240177, whole genome shotgun sequence.